AGAGUUUGAUCCUGGCUCAGAUUGAACGCUGGCGGAAUGCUUUACACAUGCAAGUCGAACGGCGGCACGGACUUCGGUCUGGUGGCGAGUGGCGAACGGGUGAGUAACAUAUCGGAACGUAUCCAAUAAUGGGGGAUAACUAAUCGAAAGGUUGGCUAAUACCGCAUACGCCCUGAGGGGGAAAGCUAGGAAUCUUCGGACCUGGCGUUAAUGGAGCGGCCGAUAUCUGAUUAGCUAGUUGGUGGGGUAAAGGCCCACCAAGGCGACGAUCAGUAGCUGGUCUGAGAGGACGACCAGCCACACUGGAACUGAGACACGGUCCAGACUCCUACGGGAGGCAGCAGUGGGGAAUAUUGGACAAUGGGCGGAAGCCUGAUCCAGCAAUACCGCGUGUGUGAAGAAGGCCUUAGGGUUGUAAAGCACUUUCAAUUGGAAGGAAAACCUCGUGGCUAAUAUCCACGAGCUUGACAUUACCUUUAGAAGAAGCACCGGCUAACUCCGUGCCAGCAGCCGCGGUAAUACGGAGGGUGCAAGCGUUAAUCGGAAUUACUGGGCGUAAAGCGUGCGUAGGCGGCUCGUUAAGUCAGAUGUGAAAGCCCUGGGCUCAACCUGGGAACUGCAUUUGAAACUGGCGAGCUAGAGUUUAAGAGAGGUAAGUGGAAUUUCAGGUGUAGCGGUGAAAUGCGUAGAGAUCUGAAGGAACACCAGUGGCGAAGGCGACUUACUGGCUUAAAACUGACGCUGAGGUACGAAAGCGUGGGUAGCAAACAGGAUUAGAUACCCUGGUAGUCC
rnacentral:rRNA from 1 species